AAUAGAGUAAAAUAUUGGUGUAUGUAUACAUCAAAAAUUUAAAAUAAAUUACAUUGUAGAAUCAAUUUGAGGAAAUAUAAUAGCUUUGCUCACUAUUUAGAUACUGCAGCUCACAACUUUUUAUAUCGGCAUGUGAAAGUAUCUCUUUAUUUCAAGAGGUGAGCAAUAUCUUGCUAUUGUUAUUGCUAUUCCUUUAUGCAGGUUUUAGAGUAUUCCAAAACCUUACUCCAAAUAUCAUCAAUUAUCAUUAAAUAUUUUUUAUCUUCCGUGGAAGUAAACAACUUCUAUGCUAAUUCUUCGUCCAUUAUCUUCCUAUCAUUUUUAUCUAAAAUUUUGAAACUAGAUAAAAUAUUUUCUCAAUUUUUUUUUGGCACCGUUGAAAAACGUAUACCAAAACUAAGUACUUGAAAUGACUAAUGACUUGGCUAUACCGAUAUAUAUUCUUGGCAAGAGUGAUCUUUCCUAGACCAUCCAUUCCACAUAUGCAAACAACCUUUAGUGCCAUGAGUUUCCUAGUCAACGAGAAGGGAGACUAAUUUCUUGAUAUCAACAUCCAAUCCAACAACAUUCUUAUCGAUGAUGUGAGGAUAAGGCUACCUUAAUUCUCUGUGUAAUAGCCAAUUUUGGCCUAAAAAAAUAAAACCCAAAUAAAAAUAAAAUAGUCCAAAAUAAAUGUCCAUUUACAAAACCCACACCAGCCCAAAAUUUAAAACCCAAAAUAAACUCAAUAACCUAAACCUUAAUAGCCCACUUGCUUAAAAUUUUUCAGCAGCAAACCCUAGCCCUCAAGCCUCCAGCAGCCGCACACUAGGCCAACCACUGGUCACUUCGCGCAGAGCCUUCCCCGCACGCCAUCGCCGGCCUCCACUCGUCUGACACCUGCAAGACGAACCUAACACGCAACAUGCAAAAAACAAAGAGGAAAAAAACAAAAAAUAGUAGCAGACAAUAAGCAAAAAAAAAACAAAAUGGAUCUAUGUAAUUCGGUUAUAAAAACCAAGGCAUAUCACUUUGUAUUUUUUACGCAUAUUAAGCAAUCAAAAAGCAAAAAUAGAAGCAAAAAAAAGGUUGAUUUCGAUUUCCAUUUUUGUGUUCUUUUCUUUUUUAUAUUUUUUUUAUCUUUUAUUUAUAAAUCUCUUCUAAACAAAAAUAAUAAGAUGAGGAGAGGGCUUACCCGGAAUCCUUGUGAUUGUGUCGCUGGAGACUCUCUCUAUUGCUGAAAUCAGACCCAAAAGGAGGAGAGGAGAGACUUUCUUCCUCUCGAUCGACGGGCUGAAGGCGCAAAAGGGGAGGGGUUUCCAAACCCUAACAGAGAUUUAUAAAUGGGGAAAAAGGGAGUGUUUUUCUGAUUUUUUAGAGUAGGAGGCAAAAAUGAAGCAAAAAUGAAAUUUUUUAACUUAAAUAAAGCAAUAAAACGGUGUCGUUUUGCACCCUGAGCCCUAGUGCGGCGCCGUAUGGAGCCUUUGCCUGCGCGACCCGACCCGUACCCAGGGGGAUCCUCGUGUUUCCCAUUAUUGGGAAAUUUAUGUUCGAGGUCCCUCCGCUUUUGCGAUACCUUGCAAUGUGAUCCUUUUAUGCUUCUUUUAUUUUUUUAAAUUUUUGCCGCAUGUUUUUGUUUUCGUUUCAGUAUGGUCUAUCUCGAAACAUAGCGCAUGAGGGCUGGGGAUAUUUCCCAAUUAGUCCCUCAUUUGUUUCAGCGUGUUUCAUCUAGGCCCUCGACAGCCUAUUUUCUAUUAUUUAUAAUUUAUACCCUAAAUUUUAAUUCUAU
rnacentral:lncRNA from 1 species